rnacentral:rRNA from 1 species
GACGAACGCUGGCGGCGUGCUUAACACAUGCAAGUCGAACGGAAAGGCCCUGCUUUUGUGGGGUGCUCGAGUGGCGAACGGGUGAGUGACACGUGAGUAACCUGCCCUUGACUUUGGGAUAACUUCAGGAAACUGGGGCUAAUACCGGAUAGGAGCUCCUGCUGCAUGGUGGGGGUUGGAAAGUUUCGGCGGUUGGGGAUGGACUCGCGGCUUAUCAGCUUGUUGGUGGGGUAGUGGCUUACCAAGGCUUUGACGGGUAGCCGGCCUGAGAGGGUGACCGGCCACAUUGGGACUGAGAUGCGGCCCAGACUCCUACGGGAGGCAGCAGUGGGGAAUAUUGCACAAUGGGCGGAAGCCUGAUGCAGCAACGCCGCGUGCGGGAUGACGGCCUUCGGGUUGUAAACCGCUUUCGCCUGUGACGAAGCGUGAGUGACGGUAAUGGGUAAAGAAGCACCGGCUAACUACGUG